CCCAGCCCCCUGCUGACAUUUUGAUCUUGGAUUUCCCAGAAUCCAGAACUGAUUCAGAUGUGGAAACCUAAUCCCCAUGUGAUGAUAUUCGGAAGUGGGGCUUCAGGGUGCAACUAGGCCAUGACUGCAGAACCCCCAUGAAUGGGAUUCAUAUCCUUCCGUAAAAGUCCCUGAGAGGUCGUGUGUCCUACAGCCAUGUGAGGAUACUGUGAGAAGACACAGUCUAGGAACCAGAGUGGCCUUCACCAGACACAGAAACCGCCAGAGUCUUGAUGUUGGUCUUCCCAGCUUCCAGAAUUGUGAGAAGUAAAUUUCUGUGGUUUAUAAGCCA